UAGGGAAUCUUCCGCAAUGGACGCAAGUCUGACGGAGCAACGCCGCGUGAGUGAAGAAGGAUUUCGGUUCGUAAAACUCUGUUGUUAGAGAAGAACAGCGCAUAGAGUAACUGUUAUGCGUGUGACGGUAUCUAACCAGAAAGCCACGGCUAACUACGUGCCAGCAGCCGCGGUAGUACGUAGGUGGCAAGCGUUGUCCGGAUUUAUUGGGCGUAAAGCGAGCGCAGGCGGUCAAUUAAGUCUGAUGUGAAAGCCCCCGGCUCAACCGGGGAGGGUCAUUGGAAACUGGUUGGCUUGAGUGCAGAAGAGGAGAGUGGAAUUCCAGGUGUAGCGGUGAAAUGCGUGGAUAUAUGGAGGAACACCAGUGGCGAAGGCGACUCUCUGGUCUGUAACUGACGCUGAGGCUCGAAAGCGUGGGUAGCAAACAGG
rnacentral:rRNA from 1 species